GUGAAUCAUCGAAUUUUUGAACGCACAUUGCACUCAUUGGUAAUCCGAUGAGUAUAUCUGUUUGAGGGUCGUUAGAAGAAAAAUCGAAGCAUCGCUCUUUUUUUUGAGGGUGAUCGCGUCGGAAUUGAGCCGUCUUUCAAAUGUUAAUUCAUGUCAAAGUGGCUUAAAAUUCAUCCAUUCGGUGCGAUUAAAGCGUAUUUAAGAUCAAUUUUGAUUAAGAACGCGCGAUGACGUACCAUCUCAUGUAGUACGUUUGACCUGGGUCAUCAGGUUCAUUCGUAUACGAUACUCAAACUUUUGA
rnacentral:misc_RNA from 1 species